rnacentral:rRNA from 1 species
UACGUAGGUGGCAAGCGUUGUUCGGAAUUAUUGGGCGUAAAGAGCUCGUAGGCGGCUUGUCGCGUCGACCGUGAAACCUCACAGCUCAACUGUGAGCCUGCGGUCGAUACGGGCAGGCUAGAGUUCGGUAGGGGAGACUGGAAUUCCUGGUGUAGCGGUGAAAUGCGCAGAUAUCAGGAGGAACACCGGUGGCGAAGGCGGGUCUCUGGGCCGAUACUGACGCUGAGGAGCGAAAGCGUGGGGAGCGAACAGG